rnacentral:rRNA from 1 species
AUCCGGAUCGAGGACAGUGUAUGGUGGGCAGUUUGACUGGGGCGGUCUCCUCCUAAAGAGUAACGGAGGAGUACGAAGGUGCGCUCAGACCGGUCGGAAAUCGGUCGUAGAGUAUAAAGGCAAAAGCGCGCUUGACUGCGAGACAGACACGUCGAGCAGGUACGAAAGUAGGUCUUAGUGAUCCGGUGGUUCUGUAUGGAAGGGCCAUCGCUCAACGGAUAAAAGGUACUCCGGGGAUAACAGGCUGAUACCGCCCAAGAGUUCAUAUCGACGGCGGUGUUUGGCACCUCGAUGUCGGCUCAUCACAUCCUGGGGCUGAAGCCGGUCCCAAGGGUAUGGCUGUUCGCCAUUUAAAGUGGUACGCGAGCUGGGUUUAGAACGUCGUGAGACAGUUCGGUCCCUAUCUGCCGUGGACGUUUGAGAUUUGAGAGGGGCUGCUCCUAGUACGAGAGGACCGGAGUGGACGAACCUCUGGUGUUCCGGUUGUCACGCCAGUGGCACUGCCGGGUAGCUAUGUUCGGAAUAGAUAACCGCUGAAAGCAUCUAAGCGGGAAACUAGCCUCAAGAUGAGAUCUCACUGGG